rnacentral:rRNA from 1 species
UGGGGAAUAUUGCACAAUGGGCGCAAGCCUGAUGCAGCCAUGCCGCGUGUAUGAAGAAGGCCUUCGGGUUGUAAAGUACUUUCAGCGGGGAGGAAGGGAGUAAAGUUAAUACCUUUGCUCAUUGACGUUACCCGCAGAAGAAGCACCGGCUAACUCCGUGCCAGCAGCCGCGGUAAUACGGAGGGUGCAAGCGUUAAUCGGAAUUACUGGGCGUAAAGCGCACGCAGGCGGUUUGUUAAGUCAGAUGUGAAAUCCCCGGGCUCAACCUGGGAACUGCAUCUGAUACUGGCAAGCUUGAGUCUCGUAGAAGGGGGUAGAAUUCCAGGUGUAGCGGUGAAAUGCGUAGAGAUCUGGAAGAAUACCGGUGGCGAAGGCGGCCCCCUGGACGAAGACUGACGCUCAGGUGCGAAAGCGUGGGGAGCAAACAGG